UGGAUGAAGGUUGGCAAGUUCUGUGAAAAGCAGACAUGAGUUUGUCUUCCAGAAGAGUAACAUUGCCUGCAGUUAUGCCAAUAACUCUGCAGAAAAGGGUAAUCAAAGUGUAUAGUGAAGAUGAUACUAGCAGAGCUUUGGAAGUACCCAGUGAUAUAACAGCCAGGGAUGUGUGUCAGCUCUUGAUAUUGAAGAACCACUAUGUUGAUGACCACAGCUGGACUCUCUUUGAACAACUUACCCACACAGGUUUAGGAAGAGCUAUAGAAGACCAUGAAUUAGUGAUGGAAGUUCAGUCAAAUUGGGUAAUGGAAGAGGAAACCAAACUGUAUUUUAGAAAAAAUUAUGCAAAAUAUGAGUUUUUUAAAAAUCCUCUGAGCUUUUUUCCUGAUCAUAUGAUAUCUUUUCCAAGUGAGACCAAUGCAGCUCUAAGCCACUCUGGAAUAUUACAGAUGUUUCUUAGCUCCAGCACAUAUCCUGAGAUUCAUGGUUAUUUGUAUGCAAAGGAGCAGGGGAAAAAAUCAUGGAAAAAAUUGUACUUUCUUUUGAGAAGAUCUGGCCUUUAUUUUUCCACUAAAGGUACAUCUAAGGAGCCAAGGCAUCUGCAGUUUUUCUGUGAAUUCAGCAAUAGUGAUAUGUACAUGUCUUUAACAGGCAAAAAGAUUUCUGGAGCACCAACAAACUAUGGAUUCUGCUUUAAGCCUAACAAAUCAGGAGGAACCAGAGACCUGAAACAGCUCUGUGCAGAUGAUGAACAAAGUAGGACCUGUUGGAUGACAGCAAUUAGGUUACUCAAGUAUGGGAUGCAGCUGUAUCAGAAUUACAUGCAACCAUAUCAAGGUAGAAGUGGCUGCAGCCCUUUGAAUAUAACACCUAUGAGAAGCAUUUCAGAAAAUUCUUUAGUAGCAAUGGAUUUCUCAGGACACAGAAGCAGAAUUAUAGAAAAUCCAACAGAGGCCCUUUCAGUUGCAGUUGAAGAAGGAUUAGCAUGGCGGAGGAGAGGGUGUCUCCGACUCAACUCUCAUGGUAGUCCUAUUGCCAUGUCUAACAUGGCUAUACACAGAUCUCAGUCAUGGUUCCAUCAUAAAAUCUCUAGAGAAGAGGCUCAGAGACUCAUUUUGCAGCAUGGACUUGUAGAUGGGGUAUUCCUGGUACGUGAUAGCCAAAGUAACCCCAAAACAUUUGUAUUGUCACUGAGUCAUGGAUUAAAAAUAAAACAUUUUCAAAUUGUACCGGUCUUCUUCAGGGGAACUACAACAAAAAAAAAAAAAAAAAAAAGAUUUUUUAGUCCAGCUGCUUUAUAGGUUGCUUCAGGUUAUGCUGCACUUAAAAAUGUCUCCUUUUAGAUAGGGUAUGCAGCCUGCUAGUUCAUGCCUCACCCAUGUAAACAGGUGCCUCAUGUUAACAUUGGUAACCUGUGCAACAGGUAUUGCAGGUUCUUGGCUGGAGCACAGGAAUUUACACAUUCUCACAUUGGUAAUUCCUUAACUAGCAGUGUUUGACUGGUUUGACCAAAGUCUGAGAAUAAAGAAAUUGCAAACUACUUCCAGUCAUGGUAGAAAGGGGUAGAAUAACUAGGAGUCAUAAGCAGUUCAGCAGCUGCUUCAGAUAAAACAUCUUAAUUACAGUUGGAAGAUGAUGGGAAGCUAUUCUAUACCCUUGAUGAUGGUCAUACCAGAUUUACUGAUCUCAUCCAGCUAGUGGAAUUCUAUCAACUUAAUAAAGGAGUACUACCUUGCAAGUUAAAACACUAUUGUGCACGGAUUGCUCUUUAACCAAAGUAUUUGUUGUUUCAUUAGAGGGAUGGGAAGAUACUAGUACACUUUUACCUCCUAAAGGCAAUUUGUAUAGCAAAAAGGGGGAAAAACACAUUACAUUGUAAAGAUUCUAUGUUUAAGCUGAAAAAAAAUAAAAAAAAUGAUAUCCUAUGUAGAUAAGAACUUUGCUUUGUGAUUGUCACAGCAAAAUUAACUUUAUGGUUUUGAAAAACCGUUCUUUCUGAUGUAAUUCUUUAGUGUUGUCUUGAACUUUCUGGGUUUUUUUUUCAACUGAAAAGAGUUUUGAAAAAUACUGUGUAACUCCUACAAAAAUAUAACUGAAGGAAAAUCUUUGUUCUUAGCUUUAAAAUUAACUUUUUUUCUCUAUACAUGUUUCUCAUAAUUUCUGUUCAUCACAUAAAAGAAUAAUGUUUACUGUGGCAAGGAUAAAAAGCUGAACUACACAUUUUAUUUGUAAAUAAAAUGAAUAAAUAUUUUGCACUAUAUUUUUGAAUGCAACUUUGAGGAUUAUCGUAUCCAAAAAGUGAAAAGUCAUUAAAACCACUUAUAACUGCUCAGU